rnacentral:rRNA from 1 species
CCCUUAGAUGUCCUGGGCCGCACGCGCGCUACACUGACAUGUUCAACAAGCCUCCUAGUUCGACAGGAUUUGGGAGAUCUUUGAACGCAUGUCGUGAUAGGGAUAGAUCAUUGCAAUUAUUGAUCUUGAACGAGGAAUUCCUAGUAAACGCGAGUCAUCAGCUCGCAUUGAUUACGUCCCUGCCCUUUGUACACACCGCCCGUCGCACCUACCGAUUGAAUGUUUCGGUGAAGAUUCCGGAUAGGACUUUUUUGAUUUAUUUCAAUUUUGUCUUAAAAGCUAUCUAAACCUCAACAUUUAGAGGAAGGUGAAGUCGUAACA